rnacentral:rRNA from 1 species
AAGCUCGUAGUUGAAUUUCGGGAUCAGACUGUCGGUCGUGCCUCGGGUACGCACUGGCAUUAUUGGUUCCUACCUUCUGAAGAACCGCGAUGUCAUUAAUUUGGUGUCGUGGGGAAUCAGGACUGUUACUUUGAAAAAAUUAGAGUGUUUAAAGCAAGCUAACGCUUGAAUACAUUAGCAUGGAAUAAUGAAAUAGGACGUUCGAUCUUAUUUUGUUGGUUUCUUAGGAUUGACGUAAUGAUUAAUAGGGAUAGUUGGG